GCGCCCGUAGCUCAGUGGACAGAGCGACGGACUUCUAAUCCGUUGGUCGCAGGUUCGAAUCCUGCCGGGCGCA
rnacentral:tRNA from 1 species